rnacentral:rRNA from 1 species
CAACCGCGGUUAUACGAGAGGCCCAAGUUGAUAGGUAUCGGCGUAAAGGGUGGUUAGGGAAAUAUUAAAUAAUAAAGCCGAACAUCUUCAACGCUGUUAUACGCUCUCGAAGACUCGAAGCCCCACCACGAAAGUGGCUUUACCUCCCCCGAACCCACGAAAGCCAGGGUACAAACUGGGAUUAGAGACCCCACUAUGCCUGGCCGUAAACAUUGAUAAGAUAUUACACGCAUUAUCCGCCUGGGUACUACGAGCGCUAGCUUAAAACCCGAAGGACUUGGCGGUGCUUUAGACCCCCCUAGAGGAGCCUGUUUCUAGAACCGAUAAUCCCCGUUCAACCUCACCCCUCCCUGUUAAUACUGCCUAUAUACCGCCGUCGCCAGCCCACCCUGUGAGGGACCUAUAGUGGGCCAAACUGGUAACACCCCUAAUGUCAGGUCGAGGUGUAGCGUAUGGAGGGGGAUGCAAUGGGCUACAUUCGCUGUAACAGCGAAUCACGAAAGACAUGCUGAAACUCAUGUCUGAAGGUGGAUUUAGCAGUAAGGGGAGAGCAGAGUGCCCCCCUGAAGUCGGCUCUGAAGCGUGCACACAUCGCCCGUCACUCUCCCCGAAUCAGUCUACACUGGUAAUUAACAACAUGACGUAAAAGAGGGGAGGCAAGUCGUAACAUGGUAA